GUGGCGGACGGGUGAGUAAUGUAUAGUUAAUCUGCCCUUUAGAGGGGGAUAACAGUUGGAAACGACUGCUAAUACCCCAUACUCCUUUUACCUUAAUGGUAAUUGGGAAACGUUUUUUCGCUAAAGGAUGAGACUAUAUGGUAUCAGGUAGUUGGUGGGGUAAGAGCCCACCAAGCCAAUGACGCCUAGCUGGUCUGAGAGGAUGAUCAGCCACACUGGAACUGAGACACGGUCCAGACUCCUACGGGAGGCAGCAGUGGGGAAUAUUGCACAAUGGAGGAAACUCUGAUGCAGCAACGCCGCGUGGAGGAUGACGCAUUUCGGUGUGUAAACUCCUUUUAUAUGGGAAGAUAAUGACGGUACCAUAUGAAUAAGCACCGGCUUAACUCCGUGACAGCAGCCGCGGUAAUACGGAGUGUGCCACGCGUUACUCGCAAUCACUGGGGCGUAAAUGCGCGCGCAGGCGGCCCUUUUAAGUAUGGAUGUACACAAGCCUAUGGCUCCACGAUAGAACUGCAUCCAAAACUAUCUGGCUAGAGUGUGUGACAGGAGGAUGGAAUUA
rnacentral:rRNA from 1 species